rnacentral:snRNA from 1 species
UGUUGGAUGAAUUGACAUCUAUCAGCUCAUUGGUCCUCAGAGUCCAUUCUUUCACUAACCUGAUUGGUGGGGUGGGUAUCUCUUGCCUUCCUCUCUAUACCAUGUGUGUCUUUUACUCAACCAAAAAGGAUUACCUUUCUUCAUGGAAGAGGACCUUUUUGUACAGGGUAUAUGAAUUAAGACUUUCUUCUGAAAUUUCCAAACAAAGUUUUGAAGCCACAAGCUAGAGUAAUUAAAGUUGAAAUAAUUUUCUUGUUAGGUCACUAAAUCUGAAUGUAGACUUUAAUU